GCCGAAGCGCACGGUGUGGAAGAGCACCGAGUUCGCCGGCCGCCCCGGGCUCACGCCGAUGCAGACGGCGGGCAGCUCGGAGCCCGGCCCGGUCAGUAGCGCGAACACUGGAAGGGGCGUCGGCAGCGGGAACAGCACCUGCUGCAGGCCGCACAGGGAGGGGCGGGCUCAGAGUCGUGGGGCGGGGCCUGAGAGGGGAGGGGCCUGGGAGGAGAGCCUGCAGGGAGCUUCCCAAGUAUAUUUCCUGGGCCCUCGGUUUUGGGGGAUGGCACCUAGAAACUUCAGGGGGUAAGGCCCCAGAGGCGUGAGGUGAUGCCUCCUUAGAAAUGGGUGGAUGUGGCUCAAAGUUGGCGUGCCUUGUUUGGAGCGUGCCGCCUUAAUGACAGCGAGGCGGGGUCCCCGGAGGGGCGUGACCUCACAGGCAGCAAAGUCUCCUUAGAGUCAAAGGAUCUGAGUGGGGUCCCCUUAGAGACCAGAGGAAUGGGGCAUACGGCCUGAAGGAUAAUUAGGCUGGAGUGAGAGGCGGAGCUUAAGGAUCCAGAAGCUCUCAGAAGGGGGAGCCUCUGGCGCCGACCACAGGUGGGCGGGGCCUCGGGUAGAAGCCGGGCUUCAUGAAACUCUCAGCAGAAGCGUAACAAGUGGAAGGCCCUAGCAUGCAACCUCGCAGAGUCCCCAGCCUCGACAGCCCCCCUACCCGGACCAGCAGGAACUUGUUCAUGGGCUGGUACCACUGAAGCAGGACCACGGACGUCUCCAGUGCGCCGCACAGGAACGGGCCCCCUGAGUUCGCACCCUCCGCUGUGGGGGAUGGGUAAGGAUGGGUUAGGGUCAAUCUUCUCUCCCCUCCACCCCCCCCCCAAAGGGCACACAACUUCCCCGGGCUGUUGACAGCCUGCCUCAACAAUGUAACCCCCUUGGAUAGAUGCAGUUCCCCCCCCCCACCACGCCCCCUUUCCUCACGUUCCCCCCACCCUACCCCGUCAGGAUUCUCUCUCACCCACGCAGCAAGCCCGGCACCCUUUGGUGUCCUGGAUCUUGGUGGAGACCAUAUUCUUCCUGCAGGAGAAAGCAGGUGUAAAUGCGGAGGGACGGCAGGAAGGGGGGAUUGCGGGGGGGGCCUGUGGCGCCACUGGGGGCUGGUACCUUGCCAGAAGCCGGUGGGGGCUCAUGUGAGCGAUGGGGCUUCCCGCUCUGGUCUCCUUGCGCUCCAGCAGGCCCAGGAUGCUAUGAGAAUACAGGUGGGGGGUCUUUCCUACAGCGUAUGUGUGUGUAAGGGGAAGCAGGCAGUUAACGGACACCAGACACAGCCACCUUUCUCUGUCCCUUCUCUUGGCCCUAUCCCUUUGAAACUCCCAAGGCUUCAAGUCUCAAACACUUUUAUGUCUUCAUUUUCCACUCAACAUAUUGUAAAUGUCCACCUUAGGCCAGGUCCUGUGCUUGGCUCUGGUGAACAGUGGUGAGGAAAACGAGUAUGUUCCCUAGCCUCCCAUGCUGGUAGCCGCAGGAGAAACUAUGGACACUUAGCCAGCCAGGUGAAGGUGCACAUGCUACUAAAUUUAAGAAGAAACCGAUCUAGAAAUUCUCUUGAAGUCUGUCAUCACAGAUGUGAUAUUAACUAACUCAUGAAGCCUAUUUGGCUUGGUGUUUCCCUGUCAAUUAGAAAUUCUAAUUCUUUUACGCAAAAUGUUUAUAAAACAGUUAACACAAAAUUGUAACCUCUAUCUACUCCCUCACUCUAUUUCACAAAAGUGUGGGAUAAGUUUCAACUCUCAUCUAAACGUCAAAGAAAUGUAAAGACUUACUGUAGACCUUACCUCAAAACUGACUUGAGGUGGGACUACUGUGAACCCCAUUUUAUGGGCAGGGAAACUGAGGCCCAGGGAGCAAGUCCCACAGUGAAAAAGUGGGCUGAGAUUUUUAACUGCGGGCUCUGUGAAGGGGGAGCCUACGUUUUUGUUUGUUUUAUUUUGUUUUCAGCUGUGCCCAUCUACCUCCCAACCCCUUCUUGACCCCUUAACUUCUGACCCCACUCCCCCCACCUGACCCACAGCCAGACCUGAGAGGGACAUGAGGACAUUGUUGAUGGAGUACACCCAGGUAGUCCGGCUAGGAAAGAGCUGCAGAGAACGAGGCAGAUGGCUCCCAUAAGACCCCAGCAACCCCCAACUCCAGCCCCUGCCCUCGGUCCCCCAGCUGCUGUCCUCACCAUCUCCAGUGUGGCCUCCUGAUCAUUCCGGUUCAAGAUGAAAAUGCCUUCCUCUGCCCCCAGGAGCAGGUGCUGGUCUGUGGGGACAGACACAAGGACGAUGGAACCUGCCUCAUCCUGGGGAGGGGCCUCCCAGACCCUGACCUGACCCCAAACACUGCUAGUCUGUCCUCCAGCCCUGACGCUCAAUUCUCUCUGACUCCCAGCCUCUGUCUCCCCAAAUCUGAACUCAAACCCUGACCCAGUGCCAGCUCAAGCUGGUCUCAUUCUUAUCUACCUCUCAAGGCUGGACCUGCAAAUCCUGACCCCUGUCCCCUCAACUUUGACCCCAACAUGAGUCAUGCUUCCCCACAUAGCCUCCGAAGUUCCAUCCUUCUCUUCCCCAGUCCUGACCCCCAAAUGCUAAUCUUGUCUCAACACUGAUCCUCAAACUCGGGCCCCCUGAAAUGUGGCUUUUUCUGUCCAGUGUGUCCCCCUCAAACUCUGUUUUUUUUAAAAUAAGUUUUAGUCAUUUUUUAAAAAAGAUUUUAAGUAAUCUCUACACCUAACAUGGGGUUUGACCUUACAAUCCUGAGAUCAAGGGUUGCCCACUCCCCCGACUGAGCCAGCCAGAUGCCUCUAAUGCUGGGUCUUUAACAUUUACCCCUCACUGACCUUGUCUCCACAUCUCUCAUUCCCAAAUCCUUUCCCUUUCUGCCUACAUUCCCAUCCCCCAAACUUCCAACUCCAAAAUGCAGACCCCAGCCUCUGUUACAUUAACCUCCAGCUGAGGUUAAAGGGUCCAACUUAUACCCCAAACUCUGACCAUUCUGUUAUGAUAUUCCUGGACCCUAAACUCUUACUUUCCUAAUUUUCACCCACAAAUUCAUUUUCACUCUACCCGUAUUUGAUCCCCAAACCCCAACUGUAACCCUGGGCUCUGGUCCUGCCUCGGUUCUGCCCCCCCCCCCCCCCCCAUCCUAUUAAGACCCUCCCCAGGGGGCGCCUGGGUGGCUCAGUCAGUUAAGCUUCUGACUCUUGAUUUCAGCUCAGGUCGUGAUCUCACAGUUUGUGACUUUGAGCCCUGAAUCGGGCUCUCUGCUGUCAGCACAGGGCCCCCUUCAGAACCUCUGUCUCACUCUCUCUCUCUCUCUCUCUCUCUCUGCUCUUCCCCCAUUCUUGCAUGUGCGCGCUCUAUCUCUCAAAAAUAAAUAUUUAAAAAAAAGACCCUCCCCCACCCCUGCCUCUGUGCCUCCAUUAAGGGCCCUCCCCAUCCCCCUUCCUUUCCGUGACGCUCCUGAGUGCCCACCCUUGGUGGAGGGGUGUAUCCAGGCAGCCGUGCUGUGGAUCCGGAGGGGGCAGCCAUUGAACAACUUCACGAGAAGGGCACAUCCCUAGGCGGGCCACGGGGGGCAGAGCAGCAGAUCCAACAAAAGGAAGGAGGGGACACGAAUGUGCAGGGGUUAAGACUCUGACGCAAGAGCACCAGCAUUCAAAUCCUGCCUCU
rnacentral:lncRNA from 1 species